UACAGAGGGGGCAAGCGUUGUUCGGAAUUACUGGGCGUAAAGGGCGCGUAGGCGGCCCGCUAAGUCGAACGUGAAAUCCCCGAGCUCAACUCCGGAACUGCCUUUAAAACUGCAUCGCUUGAAUCCAGGAGAGGUGAGUGGAAUUCCGAGUGUAGAGGUGAAAUUCGUAGAUAUUCGGAAGAACACCAGUGGCGAAGGCGGCUCACUGGACUGGUAUUGACGCUGAGGUGCGAAAGCGUGGGGGAGCAAACAGG
rnacentral:rRNA from 1 species